rnacentral:rRNA from 1 species
UAAGGAAUAUUGGUCAAUGGGCGCAAGCCUGAACCAGCCAUGCCGCGUGGAGGAUGAAGGUCCUCUGGAUUGUAAACUUCUUUUAUUUGGGACGAAAAACGGGGAUUCUUCCUCACUUGACGGUACCAGAUGAAUAAGCACCGGCUAACUCCGUGCCAGCAGCCGCGGUAAUACGGAGGGUGCAAGCGUUAUCCGGAUUCACUGGGUUUAAAGGGUGCGUAGGCGGGCUGUUAAGUCAGUGGUGAAAUCUUUGGGCUUAACCCGAAAACUGCCAUUGAUACUAUCAGUCUUGAAUAUUGUGGAGGUCUGCGGAAUAUGUCAUGUAGCGGUGAAAUGCUUAGAUAUGACAUAGAACACCAAUUGCGAAGGCAGCAGGCUACGCAUAUAUUGACGCUGAGGCACGAAAGCGUGGGGAUCAAACAGG